UCAUGCAGUCGAGCGCGGUAAGAAAAGAAGUUUACUUUUUUUCUUACUGAGCGGCUGGGUGAGUAACGCGUGGGCAAUCUGCCUUCUAGUCCGGAUAACAGAGCGAAAGAGCUGCUAAGACCGGAUAUGCUGCCGACGAGACAUCUUGUUGAGAGAAAAAGGAAUGCUAGAAGAUGAGCCCGCGUCCCAUUAGCUAGUUGGUGAGGUAACGGCCCACCAAGGCGACGAUGGGUAGCCGACCUGAGAGGGUGAACGGCCACACUGGGACUGAGACACGGCCCAGACUCCUACGGGAGGCAGCAGUAGGGAAUUUUCGGCAAUGGGCGCAAGCCUGACCGAGCAACGCCGCGUGAGGGAAGAAGGUCUUCGGAUCGUAAACCUUUGUCUUUGGGGACGAUAAUGACGGUACCCAAGGAGGAAGCCACGGCUAACUACGUGCCAGCAGCCGCGGUAAUACGUAGGUGGCAAGCGUUGUCCGGAAUUACUGGGCGUAAAGGGCGUGUAGGCGGCUAAUCAAGUCAGACGUGAAAACUCAAGGCUUAACCAUGGGACUGCGUUUGAAACUGAAUGGCUAGAGGAUCGGAGAGGGCAGUGGAAUUCCCAGUGUAGCGGUGAAAUGCGUAGAUAUUGGGAGGAACACCAGUGGCGAAGGCGACUGCCUGGACGACCCCUGACGCUGAGGCGCGAAAGCUAGGGGAGCAAACGGGAUUAGAUACCCCGGUAGUCCUAGCCGUAAACGAUGGGUACUAGGUGUGGGAGGUAUCGACCCCUUCCGUGCCGGAGCCAACGCAAUAAGUACCCCGCCCGGGGGAGUACGGCCGCAAGGUUGAA
rnacentral:rRNA from 1 species